UUCUUUAGAAAUCUCAUUUGUUCCUAAAUUAAAACUACAGUUGACUUGAUUUUUGUUUAAGAGAGAUACAUAAGUGCUCCUAUAGAGUUCUGUCCCAUCAUAAUAAAAUUCUCUUUUUCCUAUUAUAAGCAUUGUAACUGGAACACAAUUUUUAAAGAGGACCUCAAAAAUUCUAUAAGGGCAUGACGUUCCGACACUACGGAAGAAUUUUUGAGACAACCUCAAAAAUUCUUACAAGCAGCCUUUUGCCAUCUUUCGUAACAGACAACUCUAUACUGGGGCAGAAAUUUGUGAGUGAUCCUAAAAAAUUUCUUGACAAGUGAACAAGUUCUUAUUAGAUGUUGUAUUGUCUUGAAAAAUGUCCCAGUCAAUGAUUCAACAACAUUUUAUUCUCCUUUUAACAAACUUUACUUACCACUUUCAAAAGAUAACUGUGUGCAAAUACGAUUUUGAAAUCAUUUAUUUCCUUUCUUCCCAAGUGAAGACCCAAACGAGGCUCAUCACCGAACAAAAACAUCGAGAAGAAGGCAUUUUUUUUGGGACAGAGGCACAAAUCAACCUCUCCUUUUUACAAACUCAUAAUUUUCUUAGACUGCAGGAUUAACAGGCACAAAUGACAAGUAUUGCUCCACGAUAUUUUGAAUGGCUACCAUCACUUGAGGCUCGACAACUGAUCCAACAUUGUAUUAAGAGGCCCGAUAGUCGAUCCAAUAUUGCAUCGAGAGGUCCAACGGCCAAAUCCAACAUUGUAUCAAAAAGCCUAACAGCUGAUCCAAUAUUGCAUCGAGAGGCCCAACAGUCUUUCCAACAUUGCAUCGAGAAGCUCAACAACUGAUCCAACAUUGCAUCGAGAGGCCUAACAUCCAAUCAAAUAUUAAAUCGAGAGGUCCAAUAGCCGAUCUAAUAUUGUAUUGAGAAGCCCAACAACUAAUCUAACAUUGCAUCGAGAGGCCCGAUAUUCGAUCUAACACUAUAUUGAAAAACCCAACAGUUGAUCCAACACUACAUUAAGAGAUCCAACAGUUGAUCCAAUAGUACAACAUAUAUGCUUUCUUU
rnacentral:lncRNA from 1 species